CCUACGGGUGGCAGCAGUGGGGAAUAUUGGACAAUGGGGGCAACCCUGAUCCAGCCAUGCCGCGUGUGUGAAGAAGGCCCUCGGGUUGUAAAGCACUUUCAGUGAGGAAGAACGCCUGGUGGUUAAUACCCAUCAGGAAAGACAUCACUCACAGAAGAAGCACCGGCUAACUCCGUGCCAGCAGCCGCGGUAAUACGGAGGGUGCGAGCGUUAAUCGGAAUUACUGGGCGUAAAGCGCGCGUAGGCGGCUUGAUAAGCCGGUUGUGAAAGCCCCGGGCUCAACCUGGGAACGGCAUCCGGAACUGUCAAGCUAGAGUGCAGGAGAGGAGGGUAGAAUUCCCGGUGUAGCGGUGAAAUGCGUAGAGAUCGGGAGGAAUACCAGUGGCGAAGGCGGCCCUCUGGACUGACACUGACACUGAGGUGCGAAAGCGUGGGUAGCAAACAGGAUUAGAUACCCCGGUAGUC
rnacentral:rRNA from 1 species